UUUUGCGAUGUUUAUAACGGAAUUUCAAGGUAUGUUACAAAAUUCAGGUCUUAGGGGUAUCUUUAUUGGUUCAGAUUAUAUGGAUUUAUUGUUAUUGUUGUAUGCAGAUGAUCUUUAUUUAUU